AGCGCCGCUCUCAGCCUUUUGGCUAAGAUCAAGUGUAGUGUCUGUUCUUAUCAGUUUAAUAAAAAUAAAUACAUAAAUAAAUAGAUUCAGCGCUGCGAAUUUCAAAAUCAGUUCACGACAUGGAUGUGUCUUUGGCAUCAGCACUCUGACACAUAUUUGUAAAAAUGAUGCUUUAAGGUUGAAUCUCC